ACUCCAUUGCACAAUGCCGCCAGUAUAGGUACACUCGAUGUGUGUCAAGCGCUGCUCGCUGCAGGGGCGGACUGCAACAUCAAGAAUGAGGAUGGCGUCACACCGCUGGACAGAGCGAGAUUCUGGAAACGUGAUGCGGUUGUAGAGCUAUUGAAGAAGGCCAAUACAAAGACAUCAUGAUACCUUUCCUAAGUGUAAAGUGACUAUGCACACACUGCGGGUCAUUUCCUGCCAGAUGUAGCAACAUGGCAGCUAUCUUUCUCUGGCGGAUCCAGAGCUUUAAUCGUCACAUAUACAUGACUUUGUAUGUAUUUGAGCAAUGGGCAGGUAGGACUGCGGUGUUGUCUUGCUGUACCUGCCCACAAUGCCAGUGCAUGAUACCAUACAUUUCUAGACAUGCUAGCUUCCAUUUCCUCUUCUCUUCCAAGUAUCUUUUGCAGAUCGUCUUGCACUCCAUGCAGAUCCUUACUAGAAGUUACAAUGUUUGAAUAGAAAAUUGUACAAUGUCGUCACAGUAGUGCUUUGCUAGCAUUAUAAUUAUUAGAAUCAACUGACAUACUAUCGUCAGUGGAUGUAUUGUCAACACGUUUCUCCAUUAUUUUAAUUUUAUUUUUUAUCAAUUUGUCGUUUCAAGUCGUUUGACUAGACUAUUCCGUGUAUUAGCGGCCUUCGUGACUUCCAUUGGAAACAGCCAUCAUUUUUCCCGCAAUCGGUAUGGUAACAAAAACUGAUACCAGAGAGUAAUAAAAUACCGAUAUUUUACUACUCCCUGCUUGAUGCCUAUUGUUUGUAGUAGUGUGUUAUACUUCAAGCACGUUUUCUACUUGCCUGCAGCAGUAUUUAACAAAGUGGUAUUGUUUGGCAAGUUCGGUAUUUACACUGACUUGUUCGGAUGUACAUGUGCAUCCAUGUAUAUCAACUGUCAACCUUCUUGCUGUGAAUACGUUCUGCAAUGCUCACUACAUGGAUUAUAUUGAUGCCUCUGCACCACAUAUUGUAGCUUUCACUGAUUUGUACUUGCAGUAAUUGCUAUGAUUGGUGAUUUCUUGAGUCAA